rnacentral:rRNA from 1 species
UUGAACGCUGGCGGCAGGCCUAACACAUGCAAGUCGAACGGUAACAGGAAGAAGCUUGCUUCUUUGCUGACGCGUGGCGGACGGGUGAGUAAUGUCUGGGAAACUGCCUGAUGGAGGGGGAUAACUACUGGAAACGGUAGCUAAUACCGCAUAACGUCGCAAGACCAAAGAGGGGGACCUUCGGGCCUCUUGCCAUCGGCUGUGCCCAGAUGGGAUUAGCUAGUAGGUGGGGUAACGGCUCACCUAGGCGACGAUCCCUAGCUGGUCUGAGAGGAUGACCAGCCACACUGGAACUGAGACACGGUCCAGACUCCUACGGGAGGCAGCAGUGGGGAAUAUUGCACAAUGGGCGCAAGCCUGAUGCAGCCAUGCCGCGUGUAUGAAGAAGGCCUUCGGGUUGUAAAGUACUUUCAGCGGGGAGGAAGGGAGUAAAGUUAAUACCUUGGCUCAUUGACGUUACCCGCAGAAGAAGCACCGGCUAACUCCGUG